UAUUCUCCACUGAGCCCGGCGCGUCAGCUGGCGCUCCCCCAGGCGUCUCCGUCAGCGGAGCCGGAGGUGAGGCAGCCGAAGGUGAUGGCGCCUCGACGGUCACUGGAGCAGGACCGGGAGAAGCAACGGUUGGAGCGGGAGACGGAGCAGCCACCGGCUCACCCGCUGGAGCUGGAGAGGGCGCCUUUCCGAACAACUCAGUUGGCAAAAGCACAUUGUCAACAGUGAAAAUGGCCAACGGCGUUGAGUCAAGCACCGUGUCGGCGAGUCUCGACGAGUCGACUCCUGUGUGAAGAGUGACCGAGUCACCGGCUGUCGUCACAGU
rnacentral:lncRNA from 1 species